rnacentral:rRNA from 1 species
UGGGGAAUAUUGGACAAUGGGCGAAAGCCUGAUCCAGCCAUGCCGCGUGUGUGAAGAAGGUCUUCGGAUUGUAAAGCACUUUAAGUUGGGAGGAAGGGCAGUAAGCGAAUACCUUGCUGUUUUGACGUUACCGACAGAAUAAGCACCGGCUAACUCUGUGCCAGCAGCCGCGGUAAUACAGAGGGUGCAAGCGUUAAUCGGAAUUACUGGGCGUAAAGCGCGCGUAGGUGGUUCGUUAAGUUGAAUGUGAAAGCCCCGGGCUCAACCUGGGAACUGCAUCCAAAACUGGCGAGCUAGAGUAGGGCAGAGGAUGGUGGAAUUUCCUGUGUAGCGGUGAAAUGCGUAGAUAUAGGAAGGAACACCAGUGGCGAAGGCGACCACCUGGGCUCAUACUGACACUGAGGUGCGAAAGCGUGGGGAGCAAACAGG